UUAAGCGACUAAGCGUACACGGUGGAUGCCCUGGCAGUCAGAGGCGAUGAAGGACGUGCUAAUCUGCGAUAAGCGUCGGUAAGGUGAUAUGAACCGUUAUAACCGGCGAUUUCCGAAUGGGGAAACCCAGUGUGUUUCGACACACUAUCAUUAACUGAAUCCAUAGGUUAAUGAGGCGAACCGGGGGAACUGAAACAUCUAAGUACCCCGAGGAAAAGAAAUCAACCGAGAUUCCCCCAGUAGCGGCGAGCGAACGGGGAGCAGCCCAGAGCCUGAAUCAGUGUGUGUGUUAGUGGAAGCGUCUGGAAAGGCGCGCGAUACAGGGUGACAGCCCCGUACACAAAAAUGCACAUGCUGUGAGCUCGAUGAGUAGGGCGGGACACGUGGUAUCCUGUCUGAAUAUGGGGGGACCAUCCUCCAAGGCUAAAUACUCCUGACUGACCGAUAGUGAACCAGUACCGUGAGGGAAAGGCGAAAAGAACCCCGGCGAGGGGAGUGAAAAAGAACCUGAAACCGUGUACGUACAAGCAGUGGGAGCACGCUUAGGCGUGUGACUGCGUACCUUUUGUAUAAUGGGUCAGCGACUUAUAUUCUGUAGCAAGGUUAACCGAAUAGGGGAGCCGAAGGGAAACCGAGUCUUAACUGGGCGUUAAGUUGCAGGGUAUAGACCCGAAACCCGGUGAUCUAGCCAUGGGCAGGUUGAAGGUUGGGUAACACUAACUGGAGGACCGAACCGACUAAUGUUGAAAAAUUAGCGGAUGACUUGUGGCUGGGGGUGAAAGGCCAAUCAAACCGGGAGAUAGCUGGUUCUCCCCGAAAGCUAUUUAGGUAGCGCCUCGUGAAUUCAUCUCCGGGGGUAGAGCACUGUUUCGGCAAGGGGGUCAUCCCGACUUACCAACCCGAUGCAAACUGCGAAUACCGGAGAAUGUUAUCACGGGAGACACACGGCGGGUGCUAACGUCCGUCGUGAAGAGGGAAACAACCCAGACCGCCAGCUAAGGUCCCAAAGUCAUGGUUAAGUGGGAAACGAUGUGGGAAGGCCCAGACAGCCAGGAUGUUGGCUUAGAAGCAGCCAUCAUUUAAAGAAAGCGUAAUAGCUCACUGGUCGAGUCGGCCUGCGCGGAAGAUGUAACGGGGCUAAACCAUGCACCGAAGCUGCGGCAGCGACGCUUAUGCGUUGUUGGGUAGGGGAGCGUUCUGUAAGCCUGUGAAGGUGUACUGUGAGGUAUGCUGGAGGUAUCAGAAGUGCGAAUGCUGACAUAAGUAACGAUAAAGCGGGUGAAAAGCCCGCUCGCCGGAAGACCAAGGGUUCCUGUCCAACGUUAAUCGGGGCAGGGUGAGUCGACCCCUAAGGCGAGGCCGAAAGGCGUAGUCGAUGGGAAACAGGUUAAUAUUCCUGUACUUGGUGUUACUGCGAAGGGGGGACGGAGAAGGCUAUGUUGGCCGGGCGACGGUUGUCCCGGUUUAAGCGUGUAGGCUGGUUUUCCAGGCAAAUCCGGAAAAUCAAGGCUGAGGCGUGAUGACGAGGCACUACGGUGCUGAAGCAACAAAUGCCCUGCUUCCAGGAAAAGCCUCUAAGCAUCAGGUAACAUCAAAUCGUACCCCAAACCGACACAGGUGGUCAGGUAGAGAAUACCAAGGCGCUUGAGAGAACUCGGGUGAAGGAACUAGGCAAAAUGGUGCCGUAACUUCGGGAGAAGGCACGCUGAUAUGUAGGUGAAGUGAUUUACUCAUGGAGCUGAAAUCAGUCGAAGAUACCAGCUGGCUGCAACUGUUUAUUAAAAACACAGCACUGUGCAAACACGAAAGUGGACGUAUACGGUGUGACGCCUGCCCGGUGCCGGAAGGUUAAUUGAUGGGGUCAGCGCAAGCGAAGCUCUUGAUCGAAGCCCCGGUAAACGGCGGCCGUAACUAUAACGGUCCUAAGGUAGCGAAAUUCCUUGUCGGGUAAGUUCCGACCUGCACGAAUGGCGUAAUGAUGGCCAGGCUGUCUCCACCCGAGACUCAGUGAAAUUGAACUCGCUGUGAAGAUGCAGUGUACCCGCGGCAAGACGGAAAGACCCCGUGAACCUUUACUAUAGCUUGACACUGAACAUUGAGCCUUGAUGUGUAGGAUAGGUGGGAGGCUUUGAAGUGUGGACGCCAGUCUGCAUGGAGCCGACCUUGAAAUACCACCCUUUAAUGUUUGAUGUUCUAACGUGGACCCGUAAUCCGGGUUGCGGACAGUGUCUGGUGGGUAGUUUGACUGGGGCGGUCUCCUCCUAAAGAGUAACGGAGGAGCACGAAGGUUGGCUAAUCCUGGUCGGACAUCAGGAGGUUAGUGCAAUGGCAUAAGCCAGCUUGACUGCGAGCGUGACGGCGCGAGCAGGUGCGAAAGCAGGUCAUAGUGAUCCGGUGGUUCUGAAUGGAAGGGCCAUCGCUCAACGGAUAAAAGGUACUCCGGGGAUAACAGGCUGAUACCGCCCAAGAGUUCAUAUCGACGGCGGUGUUUGGCACCUCGAUGUCGGCUCAUCACAUCCUGGGGCUGAAGUAGGUCCCAAGGGUAUGGCUGUUCGCCAUUUAAAGUGGUACGCGAGCUGGGUUUAGAACGUCGUGAGACAGUUCGGUCCCUAUCUGCCGUGGGCGCUGGAGAACUGAGGGGGCUGCUCCUAGUACGAGAGGACCGGAGUGGACGCAUCACUGGUGUUCGGGUUGUCAUGCCAAUGGCACUGCCCGGUAGCUAAAUGCGGAAGAGAUAAGUGCUGAAAGCAUCUAAGCACGAAACUUGCCCCGAGAUGAGUUCUCCCUGACCCUUUAAGGGUCCUGAAGGAACGUUGAAGACGACGACGUUGAUAGGCCGGGUGUGUAAGCGCAGCGAUGCGUUGAGCUAACCGGUACUAAUGAACCGUGAGGCUUAACCUU
rnacentral:rRNA from 1 species